AUGAACGCUGGCGGCGUGCCUAAUACCUGCAAGUCGAGCGAACGGACGAGAAGCUUGCUUCUCUGAUGUUAGCGGCGGACGGGUGAGUAACACGUGGAUAACCUACCUAUAAGACUGGGAUAACUUCGGGAAACCGGAGCUAAUACCGGAUAAUAUUUUGAACCGCAUGGUUCAAAAGUGAAAGACGGUCUUGCUGUCACUUAUAGAUGGAUCCGCGCUGCAUUAGCUAGUUGGUAAGGUAACGGCUUACCAAGGCAACGAUGCAUAGCCGACCUAAGAGGGUGAUCGGCCACACUGGAACUGAGACACGGUCCAGACUCCUACGGGAGGCAGCAGUAGGGUAUCUGCCGCAAUGGGCGAAAGCCUGACGGAGCAACGCCGCGUGAGUGAUGAAGGUCUUCGGAUCGUAAAACUCUGUUAUUAGGGAAAAACAUAUGUGUAAGUAACUGUGCACAUCUUGACGGUACCUAAUCAGAAAGCCACGGCUAACUACGUG
rnacentral:rRNA from 1 species